rnacentral:rRNA from 1 species
GAUGAACGCUGGCGGCGUGCUUAACACAUGCAAGUCGAACGAUGAAGCCCAGCUUGCUGGGUGGAUUAGUGGCGAACGGGUGAGUAACACGUGAGUAACCUGCCCUCAACUCUGGGAUAAGCCUGGGAAACUGGGUCUAAUACCGGAUAGGAGCGUCCACCGCAUGGUGGGUGUUGGAAAGAUUUAUCGGUUUUGGAUGGACUCGCGGCUUAUCAGCUUGUUGGUGAGGUAAUGGCUCACCAAGGCGACGACGGGUAGCCGGCCUGAGAGGGGGACCGGCCACACGGGGACUGAGACACGGCCCAGACUCGUACGGGAGGCAGCGGUGGGGAAUAUUGCACGAUGGGCGCAAGCCUGAUGCAGGGACGCCGCGUGCGGGAUGAAGGGCUUCGGGUUGUGAACCUAUUUCUGUAGGGAAGAAGCGAAAGUGACGGUACCUGAAGAAGAAGCACCGGCUAACUACGUG